rnacentral:rRNA from 1 species
UACGAAGGGGGCUAGCGUUGCUCGGAAUUACUGGGCGUAAAGGGCGCGUAGGCGGUCCUGAUCGUCGGAUGUGAAAGGCCUGGGCUCAACCUGGGAAUGGCAUCCGAUACGGCGGGACUGGAGUGUGGGAGAGGUUGGUGGAAUUCCCAGUGUAGAGGUGAAAUUCGUAGAUAUCAGGAGGAACACCGGUGGCGAAGGCGGCUUUCUGGACGACAACUGACGCUGGAGACGCGAAAAGCGUGGGGGAGCAAACAGG